rnacentral:rRNA from 1 species
CUAGUCGAGCGGUAACAGGGGGAGCUUGCUCCCCGCUGACGAGCGGCGGACGGGUGAGUAAUACAUAGGAAUCUGCCCAGUAGUGGGGGAUAGCCCGGGGAAACCCGGAUUAAUACCGCAUACGCCCUUUGGGGGAAAGCAGGGGAUCUUCGGACCUUGCGCUAUUGGAUGAGCCUAUGUCGGAUUAGCUAGUUGGUGGGGUAAAGGCCUACCAAGGCGACGAUCCGUAGCUGGUCUGAGAGGAUGAUCAGCCACAUCGGGACUGAGACACGGCCCGAACUCCUACGGGAGGCAGCAGUGGGGAAUAUUGGACAAUGGGGGCAACCCUGAUCCAGCCAUGCCGCGUGUGUGAAGAAGGCUUUCGGGUUGUAAAGCACUUUCAGUGAGGAGGAAAACCUUAUGGCGAAUACCCAUGAGGCUUGACGUUACUCACAGAAGAAGCACCGGCUAACUCCGUGCCAGCAGCCGCGGUAAUACGGAGGGUGCAAGCGUUAAUCGGAAUUACUGGGCGUAAAGCGCGCGUAGGUGGUUUGAUAAGCGAGAUGUGAAAGCCCCGGGCUUAACCUGGGAACGGCAUUUCGAACUGUCAGGCUAGAGUAU